rnacentral:rRNA from 1 species
UACGGAGGGUGCGAGCGUUGUCCGGAAUCACUGGGCGUAAAGGGCGCGUAGGCGGCGCGGGUAGUCAUCGGUGAAAGUUCAGGGCUCAACUCUGAAUCGGCCGGUGAUACUCCCGUGCUCGAGCACUGUAGAGGCAGGUGGGAAUUCCGGGUGUAGGCGGGUGGAAUGGCGUAGAGAUCCGGAAGAACACCGGUGGCGAAGGCGGCCGCUGGGCAUGGAGCUGGACGCUGAUGCGCGACAGCGAUGGGGAGCGAACAGG